rnacentral:rRNA from 1 species
UACGGGGGGGGGUAAGCGUUGUUCGGAAUUACUGGGCGUAAAGGGCUCGUAGGCGGCCAACUAAGUCGGACGUGAAAUCCCUCAGCUUAACUGGGGAACUGCGUCCGAUACUGGAUGGCUUGGAUUCGGGAGAGGAAUGCGGAAUUCCAGGUGUAGCGGUGAAAUGCGUAGAUAUCUGGAGGAACACCGGUGGCGAAGGCGGCAUUCUGGGCAUGACCGUGACGCUGAGGAGCGAAAGUGUGGGGAGCGAACAGG